AGAGUUUGAUCAUGGCUCAGGACGAACGCUGGCGGCGCGCCUAACACAUGCAAGUCGAACGAGCCGAGGGGAGCUUGCUCCCCAGAGCUAGUGGCGGACGGGUGAGUAACACGUGAGCAACCUGCCUUUCAGAGGGGGAUAACGUUUGGAAACGAACGCUAAUACCGCAUAACAUACCGGGACCGCAUGAUUCUGGUAUCAAAGGAGCAAUCCGCUGAAAGAUGGGCUCGCGUCCGAUUAGCUAGUUGGCGGGGUAACGGCCCACCAAGGCGACGAUCGGUAGCCGGACUGAGAGGUUGAUCGGCCACAUUGGGACUGAGACACGGCCCAGACUCCUACGGGAGGCAGCA
rnacentral:rRNA from 1 species